rnacentral:rRNA from 1 species
UCUCCUGGAAAACGGGUGGUAAUGCCGGAUGCUCCGGUUGGAUGCAUGUCCUUCCGGGAAAGGUUCCAUCGGUAUGGGAUGGGGUCGCGUCCUAUCAGCUUGAUGGCGGGGUAACGGCCCACCAUGGCUUCGACGGGUAGCCGGCCUGAGAGGGCGACCGGCCACAUUGGGACUGAGAUACGGCCCAGACUCCUACGGGAGGCAGCAGUGGGGAAUAUUGCACAAUGGGCGCAAGCCUGAUGCAGCGACGCCGCGUGCGGGAUGGAGGCCUUCGGGUUGUAAACCGCUUUUGAUCGGGAGCAAGCCCUUCGGGGUGAGUGUACCUUUCGAAUAAGCACCGGCUAACUACGUGCCAGCAGCCGCGGUAAUACGUAGGGUGCAAGCGUUAUCCGGAAUUAUUGGGCGUAAAGGGCUCGUAGGCGGUUCGUCGCGUCCGGUGUGAAAGCCCAUCGCUUAACGGUGGGUCUGCGCCGGGUACGGGCGGGCUGGAGUGCGGUAGGGGAGACUGGAAUUCCCGGUGUAACGGUGGAAUGUGUAGAUAUCGGGAAAGAACACCA